rnacentral:ncRNA from 1 species
GGAAAUACUGUGAAGAAGGAAAGUAGUAUAAACAAAGCAUACAGAGAGGAUAUCUAAAGCUGAGAAGAUAUCUAUGAAGAAGUUUAUAUGAAGUGCCCUUCGGAGUUAUGAGCUGAAAAAAUAAAUGCUAAUUUAUUUUAGUAAGUUUCAUCGGGAUCACCCGUUAUAGUGAUAAAGCAUCAUAUGGUGCUUGAAUAAGGUGGGAUAUUAUAUCCAAGUAGAGUGGAACCGCGGAGUUUAACUUCGUCUCUUGA